UACGUAGGUGGCAAGCGUUGUUCGGAAUUAUUGGGCGUAAAGGGCGCGUAGGCGGCUGUUCAAGUCGAACGUGAAAACUCGGAGCUCAACUCCGAGCCUGCGUUCGAUACUGGACGGCUAGAGUCUGGUAGGGGGACCUGGAAUUCCUGGUGUAGCGGUGGAAUGCGCAGAUAUCAGGAGGAACACCGGUGGCGAAGGCGGGGUCCUGGGCCAGUACUGACGCUGAGGAGCGAAAGCGUGGGGAGCAAACAGG
rnacentral:rRNA from 1 species